ACGGGUGAGUAACACGUAGGUAACCUACCUAUAAGACUGGGAUAACUUCGGGAAACCGGAGCUAAUACCGGAUAAUAUUUCGAACCGCAUGGUUCGAUAGUGAAAGAUGGCUUUGCUAUCACUUAUAGAUGGACCUGCGCCGUAUUAGCUAGUUGGUAAGGUAACGGCUUACCAAGGCAACGAUACGUAGCCGACCUGAGAGGGUGAUCGGCCACACUGGAACUGAGACACGGUCCAGACUCCUACGGGAGGCAGCAGUAGGGAAUCUUCCGCAAUGGGCGAAAGCCUGACGGAGCAAUGCCGCGUGAGUGAUGAAGGUCUUCGGAUCGUAAAACUCUGUUAUUAGGGAAGAACAAACGUGUAAGUAACUGUGCACGUCUUGACGGUACCUAAUCAGAAAGCCACGGCUAACUACGUGCCAGCAGCCGCGGUAAUACGUAGGUGGCAAGCGUUAUCCGGAAUUAUUGGGCGUAAAGCGCGCGUAGGCGGUUUUUUAAGUCUGAUGUGAAAGCCCACGGCUCAACCGUGGAGGGUCAUUGGAAACUGGAAAACUUGAGUGCAGAAGAGGAAAGUGGAAUUC
rnacentral:rRNA from 1 species